rnacentral:rRNA from 1 species
AAUGAACGUUGGCGGCGUGGAUUAGGCAUGCAAGUCGCGCGAUAAAUCGCCUUCGGGCGAUGGAAAGCGGCGAAAGGGAGAGUAAUGCGUGGGUACCUGCCCUCAGGACCGGGAUAGCUGCGGGAAACUGCAGAUAAUACCGGAUGAUGUCUCCGGACCACAGGUGUGAUUCCGCCGGAGGAGGGGCCCACGUCCUAUCAGCUAGUUGGCGAGGUAAUGGCUCACCAAGGCGACGACGGGUACGGGGUGUGAAAGCAUGCCCCCGCUCACUGGGACGGAGCAACUGCCCAGACACCUCGGGGUGGCGGCAGUCGAGAAUCUUCCGCAAUGGGCGAAAGCCUGACGGAGCGACGCCGCGUGCGGGAUGAAGGCCUUCGGGUUGUAAACCGCUGUCAGUGGGGAGGAAAUGCACGGGGAUUCUCCCUCGUGUUUGACCGAUCCGCAGAGGAAGCACAGGCUAAGUUCGUGCCAGCAGCCGCAGUAAGAC